CCUACGGGAGGCAGCAGUGGGGAAUAUUGGACAAUGGGCGCAAGCCUGAUCCAGCCAUGCCGCGUGAGUGAUGAAGGCCUUAGGGUUGUAAAGCUCUUUUGUCCGGGAAGAUAAUGACUGUACCGGAAGAAUAAGCCCCGGCUAACUUCGUGCCAGCAGCCGCGGUAAUACGAAGGGGGCUAGCGUUGCUCGGAAUCACUGGGCGUAAAGGGCGCGUAGGCGGACUUUUAAGUCGGAGGUGAAAGCCCAGGGCUCAACCCUGGAAUUGCCUUCGAUACUGGGAGUCUUGAGUUCGGAAGAGGUUGGUGGAACUGCGAGUGUAGAGGUGAAAUUCGUAGAUAUUCGCAAGAACACCGGUGGCGAAGGCGGCCAACUGGUCCGAAACUGACGCUGAGGCGCGAAAGCGUGGGGAGCAAACAGGAUUAGAUACCCUUGUAGUC
rnacentral:rRNA from 1 species